AAAUUGAAGAGUUUGAUCAUGGCUCAGAUUGAACGCUGGCGGCAGGCCUAACACAUGCAAGUCGAGCGGAAACGAGUUAACUGAACCUUCGGGGGACGUUAACGGCGUCGAGCGGCGGACGGGUGAGUAAUGCCUAGGAAAUUGCCCUGAUGUGGGGGAUAACCAUUGGAAACGAUGGCUAAUACCGCAUGAUGCCUACGGGCCAAAGAGGGGGACCUUCGGGCCUCUCGCGUCAGGAUAUGCCUAGGUGGGAUUAGCUAGUUGGUGAGGUAAGGGCUCACCAAGGCGACGAUCCCUAGCUGGUCUGAGAGGAUGAUCAGCCACACUGGAACUGAGACACGGUCCAGACUCCUACGGGAGGCAGCAGUGGGGAAUAUUGCACAAUGGGCGCAAGCCUGAUGCAGCCAUGCCGCGUGUGUGAAGAAGGCCUUCGGGUUGUAAAGCACUUUCAGUCGUGAGGAAGGUAGUGUAGUUAAUAGCUGCAUUAUUUGACGUUAGCGACAGAAGAAGCACCGGCUAACUCCGUGCCAGCAGCCGCGGUAAUACGGAGGGUGCGAGCGUUAAUCGGAAUUACUGGGCGUAAAGCGCAUGCAGGUGGUUUGUUAAGUCAGAUGUGAAAGCCCGGGGCUCAACCUCGGAAUAGCAUUUGAAACUGGCAGACUAGAGUACUGUAGAGGGGGGUAGAAUUUCAGGUGUAGCGGUGAAAUGCGUAGAGAUCUGAAGGAAUACCGGUGGCGAAGGCGGCCCCCUGGACAGAUACUGACACUCAGAUGCGAAAGCGUGGGGAGCAAACAGGAUUAGAUACCCUGGUAGUCCACGCCGUAAACGAUGUCUACUUGGAGGUUGUGGCCUUGAGCCGUGGCUUUCGGAGCUAACGCGUUAAGUAGACCGCCUGGGGAGUACGGUCGCAAGAUUAAAACUCAAAUGAAUUGACGGGGGCCCGCACAAGCGGUGGAGCAUGUGGUUUAAUUCGAUGCAACGCGAAGAACCUUACCUACUCUUGACAUCCAGAGAACUUUUCAGAGAUGAAUUGGUGCCUUCGGGAACUCUGAGACAGGUGCUGCAUGGCUGUCGUCAGCUCGUGUUGUGAAAUGUUGGGUUAAGUCCCGCAACGAGCGCAACCCUUAUCCUUGUUUGCCAGCGAGUAAUGUCGGGAACUCCAGGGAGACUGCCGGUGAUAAACCGGAGGAAGGUGGGGACGACGUCAAGUCAUCAUGGCCCUUACGAGUAGGGCUACACACGUGCUACAAUGGCGCAUACAGAGGGCGGCCAACUUGCGAAAGUGAGCGAAUCCCAAAAAGUGCGUCGUAGUCCGGAUUGGAGUCUGCAACUCGACUCCAUGAAGUCGGAAUCGCUAGUAAUCGUGGAUCAGAAUGCCACGGUGAAUACGUUCCCGGGCCUUGUACACACCGCCCGUCACACCAUGGGAGUGGGCUGCAAAAGAAGUAGGUAGUUUAACCUUCGGGGGGACGCUUACCACUUUGUGGUUCAUGACUGGGGUGAAGUCGUAACAAGGUAGCGCUAGGGGAACCUGGCGCUGGAUCACCUCCUUA
rnacentral:rRNA from 1 species